rnacentral:rRNA from 1 species
CAGCCAUGCCGCGUGUGUGAAGAAGGUCUUCGGAUUGUAAAGCACUUUAAGUUGGGAGGAAGGGUAGUAACUUAAUACGUUGCUAUUUUGACGUUACCGACAGAAUAAGCACCGGCUAACUCUGUGCCAGCAGCCGCGGUAAUACAGAGGGUGCAAGCGUUAAU